AGGCUGCCGUGCGCUUAAACAUGCCGCUUGCGUCGAACUGAUUGAAGCUUGCUUCUAUGACGUUUGCGGCGGACGGGUGAGUACCACGUGGGCAUCCUGCCUGUAAGACUGGGAUAACUUCGGGAAACCGAAGCUAAUACCGGUUAGGAUCUUCUCCUUCAUGGGAGAUGAUUGAAAGAUGGUUCCGGCUAUCACUUACAGAUGGGCCCGCGGUGCAUUAGCUAGUUGGUGAGGUACCGGCUCACCAAGGCAACGAUGCAUAGCCGACCUGAGAGGGUGCUCGGCCCCACUGGGACUGACCCACGGCCCACCCUACUACGGGAGGCAGCAGUAGGGAAUCUUCCGCAAUGGACGAAAGUCUGACGGAGCAACGCCGCGUGAGUGAUGAAGGCUUUCGGGUCGUAAAACUCUGUUGUUAGGGAAGAACAAGUACGAGAGUAACUGCUCGUACCUUGACGGUACCUAACCAGAAAGCCACGGCUAACUACGUGCCAGCAGCCGCGGUAAUACGUAGGUGGCAAGCGUUAUCCGGAAUUAUUGGGCGUAAAGCGCGCGCAGGCGGUUUCUUAAGUCUGAUGUGAAAGCCCACGGCUCAACCGUGGAGGGUCAUUGGAAACUGGGGAACUUGAGUGCAGAAGAGAAAAGCGGAAUUCCACGUGUAGCGGUGAAAUGCGUAGAGAUGUGGAGGAACACCAGUGGCGAAGGCGGCUUUUUGGUCUGUAACUGACGCUGAGGCGCGAAAGCGUGGGGAGCAAACAGGAUUAGAUACCCUGGUAGUCCACGCCGUAAACGAUGAGUGCUAAGUGUUAGAGGGUUUCCGCC
rnacentral:rRNA from 1 species